CUUCUUCUUAAAAUUGGAUAAUAGAGUACUACCUCUAUCUCUCAUUAAAAGCGUUCAUUGACAAAAUAAUUGUCUUUAAUGUAAGUCAGUUUUCAUACAAAAACGGUAAUAUUGUCGAACUUAAAUACAACAGAAAUAUUUGAGUAAAUUUUAAAUUAAAAAAUAUUAUAAUUUAAUUAUAUCAGUGAUUUAUUUUGAAGUUAAAAAAAAAUCAUAUUUUAAUUAUAUUUAUAUUCAAUAGUGUUAAAGUUUUUUAAUGGAAAUUGAAUAAAAUGAUAAAAAAAUUAUAACUAUAAAUACAUUAUUUAAACUUAAAUAAUAUUUUAGCCAUUUUUUAAUUUAAAAUUAACGUAUUAAUUAUCCUACAAUUUUGUUUUUAAUUGAUAGAGGUGAAAUUAUUUAGAGACCGAGGCGGUACUAGAAUGAAAGUAGCGGUUGACAAUUCCAUUGGAUUGACGAAGAGAGCAGUUAGCACACGAGGGAUUGAGUGAGUGCCGAGUGGGGGCAACUCGACCGGCAAAUAGGUUGGAAGGGGACAUGCGGCCCCAUUCAUUAUCACUAAAUGCCAAAAGUUACUCUUGCAGAAACUAAAAUGUCCUUGAAACAAAUAGUUAAUCCAAUGCCAAUUAGCCCCGCUUUGCAACCGCUUCUCUCUCUCUUUCUCUUAUUAUCCUCCCACAUCGUCUAUAUACUACAAUAUCAAAUAUAAGUUUAAAUUUAAUAUAUUUUAUUUAAACUCUAAGUUAAAUAUAAUUUUUUUAAUUAAUUUAUAUUUAAAUUUAAAAUAGAGAAAGUACCGCACAAGGACGUAUCUUGUAUUUCUAUAUGCUCUUGUCUUGAGUUAUUUGUGGAAUAUAGACUCAAGUUUUGUUUUAGUUUUCUAUUUUUAUUAAUUAAUAAAAUCAAUAUUUUUAAUCUAAAAUUUAAUUAUUUUAUUUUAUUAUUCUAAUUAAAAAAUGAUGAUAUAAUAAAUUUUACAUAAUAUAAUAUAUGAUAUAAAAUUAUUAAAUCA
rnacentral:lncRNA from 1 species